GACGAACGCUGGCGGCGUGCCUAAUACAUGCAAGUUGAGCGCUGAAGGUUGGUACUUGUACCGACUGGAUGAGCAGCGAACGGGUGAGUAACGCGUGGGGAAUCUGCCUUUGAGCGGGGGACAACAUUUGGAAACGAAUGCUAAUACCGCAUAAAAACUUUAAACACAAGUUUUAAGUUUGAAAGAUGCAAUUGCAUCACUCAAAGAUGAUCCCGCGUUGUAUUAGCUAGUUGGUGAGGUAAAGGCUCACCAAGGCGAUGAUACAUAGCCGACCUGAGAGGGUGAUCGGCCACAUUGGGACUGAGACACGGCCCAAACUCCUACGGGAGGCAGCAGUAGGGAAUCUUCGACAAUGGACGAAAGUCUGACCGAGCAACGCCGCGUGAGUGAAGAAGGUUUUCGGAUCGUAAAACUCUGUUGGUAGAGAAGAACGUUGGUGAGAGUGGAAAGCUCAUCAAGUGACGGUAACUACCCAGAAAGGGACGGCUAACUACGUG
rnacentral:rRNA from 1 species